rnacentral:rRNA from 1 species
GAUGAACUCUAGCUACAGGCUUAACACAUGCAAGUCGAGGGGCAGCAUGGUCUUAUCUUGCUAAGGCCGAUGGCGACCGGCGCACGGGUGAGUAACACGUAUCCAACCUGCCGUCUACUCUUGGACAGCCUUCUGAAAGGAAGAUUAAUACAAGAUGGCAUCAUGAGUCCGCAUGUUCACAUGAUUAAAGGUAUUCCGGUAGACGAUGGGGAUGCGUUCCAUUAGAUAGUAGGCGGGGUAACGGCCCACCUAGUCUUCGAUGGAUAGGGGUUCUGAGAGGAAGAUCCCCCACAUUGGAACUGAGACACGGUCCAAACUCCUACGGGAGGCAGCAGUGAGGAAUAUUGGUCAAUGGGCGAGAGCCUGAACCAGCCAAGUAGCGUGAAGGAUGACUGCCCUAUGGGUUGUAAACUUCUUUUAUAAAGGAAUAAAGUCGGGUAUGGAUACCCGUUUGCAUGUACUUUAUGAAUAAGGAUCGGCUAACUCCGUGCCAGCAGCCGCGGUAAUACGGAGGAUUCGAGCGUUAUCCGGAUUUAUUGGGUUUAAAGGGAGCGUAGAUGGAUGUUUAAGUCAGUUGUGAAAGUUUGCGGCCCAACCGUAAAAUUGCAGUUGAUACUGGAUAUCUUGAGUGCAGUUGAGGCAGGCGGAAUUCGUGGUGUAGCGGUGAAAUGCUUAGAUAUCACGAAGAACUCCGAUUGCGAAGGCAGCCUGCUAAGCUGCAACUGACAUUGAGGCUCGAAAGUGUGGGUAUCAAACAGGAUUAGAUACCCUGGUAGUCCACACGGUAAACGAUGAAGGCUCGCUGUUUGCGAUAUACGGCAAGCGGCCAAGCGAAAGCGUUAA